ensembl:lncRNA
UUUUAACUGGAGGCUAUAUUUUGGGUUGCUGUGGACUGCAUGUCUAGAAGAUUCAGCAUCAUCACGGUAUCUCAAAAAAUCAUAGAAACCAUGAACAAAAAUUAAACAAAUUAAGCAUGCUUCUGGUCAGCCAAUGAAUGACAGUGCUCAUCCUACUGAAGAUAAUGUAUUUGCUGCUUAAUAGUCCUCAUUAACAAAGUAAAUAUCCUUCUGGGUAUAUAAAGAGGUGGACCCAAGCCAUGAAGCUACUGAAGUAUCACGUUAGCAUGAAAAAAAGACUAUGAGAAUGAAAAGAGGGAGGUGGUGAGAGGUGAUUAAUUAUUCAUCUCUGUUUUCUGCACAUCUUGCAAAUUCAGCUUUGGUGCCUUAUGUCUUGCAUCUUUGGAAAUUAUUAACUGCAUGUUAAGAACAUUAAUUCAUCAUUAUGGAUUUAUAACAACUGUAUUUGCAAUCAGCUCUAUUAUGGGCUUCACAAAACGUGCUGAUAGCCUUUUACCCUAUAUAUGAGAAUAAACAAACAUGAAGAUUUUAGAGGCUCCCUCUGCUUAUUUUAACUGCAAUAAAACAUGCUUCACAGAAUGUAGAAUUUAGUAGCUGAAAGAAAUGGCCUCUCUUGAUUUUGAUCCAUUCAUUACUGUGCACUUGUUUCAAUAGAUACAACCUUUCCUCUGCGAGAAACACUGCUUGAUCUCUUUCACAUUCUGCAGACAAUACAGUAAUAAACCGAAAUAAAGCCUGGUACUACAAUGUGAUGAGAGCCUUCGGAGAGCAAAAGAGGCUUCCACCUUCUUUGUCUUACAGGACUGGAUACUUCGCAUGACAGCAAGACUGAUGGAAACAAUGUCACUGGAGGCAAUUCACACCUUUUGUCAGAGAGGGGGAGAAGAGAAAGUUUAUAUUAUUUUCACAAGGAUGAUUUGUAAAGUGCUUUCCCAUGAGCUGAAAGGGUCCUCAGAGCCUUACUUUCAAACAGUGAUGCUGCUUACUGUGAAGUAUAUCUUGAAAUUCAACAGCAAAAAUAGCAAUAUUGUUACUCAGUCAUUUACAGCUGAAAUUUUCACUGCAGUUGCUUGAAUGUGGCGGAAAUCCCAGGGCAGAUAUGCAUUUGAGAUUAAUCUUUUUGAGUUUGUUGCCUUAGAGGACACUGGUAACAUAUUACCUUUCUACAAUAAAAGACGUAGAUAUGGGAAAGUCAUCUAGUCCCCGUCGCUAACAGUGCAGAUUGCCCUCUGCUGUGUUCCCUAGUGCUUUGUCCAGUCUAUUUUUAAAUGGACUAAGUGAUGAGAAUUUCUGCAGAGGAGAGUUCACAGGCAGCCCUCUCUCCUCUAACAAAGCUCUGAACAGAUAAAGAAUAAUAAGAAUAUAUAUAUAUAUAUUUAUUAAGCCUUCUCUCUUUCAACUACCGAAGCCCUUAGAAUACUAAGCAGCCACCAUAAAUUUAUUGUUCCAAACAAGAUCAGCAAUGUUAAAAAGAAAUCAGUAAUAAUCAUACAAAAAUAAAAUAAAAUAAAAUAAAAUAAAAU